rnacentral:rRNA from 1 species
CCUACGGGAGGCAGCAGUGGGGGAUAUUGCACAAUGGGGGGAACCCUGAUGCAGCGACGCCGCGUGGGUGAAGAAGCGCCUCGGCGCGUAAAGCCCUGUCAGCAGGGAAGAAAAUGACGGUACCUGAAGAAGAAGCCCCGGCUAACUACGUGCCAGCAGCCGCGGUAAUACGUAGGGGGCAAGCGUUAUCCGGGUUUACUGGGUGUAAAGGGGGGGCAGACGGCGAUGCAAGCCAGGAGUGAAAGCCCGGGGGCCAACCCCGGGACUGCUCUUGGAACUGCGUGGCUGGAGUGCAGGAGGGGCAGGCGGAAUUCCUGGUGUAGCGGUGAAAUGCGUAGAUAUCAGGAGGAACACCGGUGGCGAAGGCGGCCUGCUGGACUCCAACUGACGUUGAGGCCCGAAAGCGUGGGGAGCAAACAGGAUUAGAUACCCCAGUAGUC